rnacentral:misc_RNA from 1 species
UCUCCGUUGGUGAACCAGCGGAGGGAUCAUUAUCGAGUUUAUAACUCCCAAACCCUAUGUGAACUUACCACUUGUUGCUUCGGCGCGCGCUUCGGCGCCGCCGAGGACACUUAAACUCUUUGUUUUUAUAAGCAUUUCUGAGUGGCCGAAAGGCAAAAUACAAAUGAAUCAAAACUUCAACAACGGAUCUCUUGGUUCUGGCAUCGAUGAGAACGCAGC